AAUGAAAGCAAGGGAUUCCUGAGAGCAGAGCUCCUUCCAUUCCCUUGGGAGAUGAGACAGUGGUUGGGGUCAGCAAUCCCUUCCCCAGGCCUGCUCUGACCCAGGGCCAUAGGCUUCCACUGCCAGAUGCUGGGAGAAACAGAACACUGGUCCCUCCCUUCUGCAGUGUGGUGGUGGUGAUGGAGGAAUGUCUUGUCCUCCCCAUUCCUCUCUCUCAAUCAAGCACCCGCCAUCAGUCAGAUCCCCCUUUGUGUUAUAAUGAUCUGUGCUAGAGACUGAAUAUUUGUAUCCCCCCAAAAUUUAUAGGUUGCAACCUGAUCCCCAUGGUGAUGGUAUAAGGAGGUGAGGCCUUUGGGAGGUGAUUUGGUCAGGAGGGCAGAGCACUUAUGAAUGGGAUUCAUGUCUUUAUCAAAGGGACCCCAGAGAGCUCCCUCACCCCUUUCUCCAUGUGAGGACACAGCAAGAAGUCUAUGAACCAGGAAGUGGGCCCUUAUCAGUCAUCAAAUCUGCAGGUGCCUUGAUCUCAGACUUCCCAGCCACCAGAGCUGUGAGAAAUACAUUCCCUCUGUGAAUCUGCCACCCAUUCUGUGCUAUUCUGUGACAGCCCCAAACAGACUCAGAUCACCUGGGUUAUUUUUGCACUUUCAACGAGGCAGGUGCUCAGUUCCGUGGGGGCACAAAGCAGGGAAGAAAACAGCAAGUAUCUGGAGCAGCAAGUGUCUGUCUGGAAACUGUGCUAGUGCUGGGCCCAGCCACAUCUAGUUCAGGAGAAAGGACACAUCUGAACAAGAUGAUGACGUUCUGAGGCAGGUGGGGGUGCAGGCGGCAGAGCAGUGAAUUCUGAGGUGGCAGAAGCCACUGAGCACACAGGUACAGGCUGCAGGGCUGGCCUCCUGCUCUCCAGACACUCCUGCUUCCCCUCUGCCCACCAGACAUGCCCCGGUCUUCCCCAGACUAUGAGAUCUUUCCCUUGAUCUUUUUUUCACAUUGAACCUACUCUCCUCUUUCUCUCUUUUUCAACAUUUGUAGAGAUAACUCUAAACUCAUUUCUUCUCCCCACCUCUCAAUCCCUGCUCAUCCUCUGCUAGUCUGGUGUCGCUGCGUAGUGUUCCAAAACCCACUUGUUGAGGACACCAAUGGUUUCUUUAUCUGUCAAGGGCUGCAGGAAGGAGGAAGGAGGGGCACUCUCACAGGCAACACUCAUAGUCUUGGUUUCGAUAUGCAUUAUUAUCUCAUUAUCUAAUUUCAUCCUCACUACAACACUGUGAGUCAAGUGCUAAACCACCCUUAUUUACAACCAAGGAAACUGCGAUGCAGAGGGUUAAGAAACCCAGAGUCACACAGCCCGAGUCCAGAUCAAGCCCAGGCCAUCCGAGCCCAGAGCCCAGACCAUUAACCACAUGUGAUUCUGCAUGGAAAAUGCAAAGAAGAGUUUCUGGAACAGAGGAGCUUCUCCACAGUCAUCAUCCCUGAACUCCCUGUGGUAUUUGAGCCAGAUCCUGCCUCAUAAGCUCCCUGUGCCCCUUGACAUCUGAGUGCUCCUGAUCUCCACCUACCUCUCUGGCCUCCCUAGCACAGCCUGUCCCAGGCUCCUAAUGUUGGAUGUUGGAAGAGUCCUGAAAGUGUUGCUUUGAGAUCUCUUCUCAUUCCUGACAUCCUUCUCCCAACUUUUCUCUCUACCCUCCCUCUUACUGCCACGAUUCAAGAUAUAAAUCUCCGGCAAACAUCUCCAGCCUAGCUCUGCACUCCAAAAAACACUGUCUAAACUGUCCUCCCCAACCGCCCCUCCCAUACACAAUUCUCCUUCAAACUCUAUACCUCCCGCAGCCCCGGCCCCCCAGCACUGGUAGCACUGACCACCUUCAAACAUACGAUGUCACUUCGUAAUCUCUUGUGUUUAUUGUUUGUCUCCCUCUGCUUGAGGCCAAGUUCCUCGAAGACAGCGGUUUGUGUGUUUGUUCACUGUAUUAUCCCCAGCACCUGGAGUGUGCCUGGUACACAGUCACUCAGUAGAUGUUUGCUCAAUGAAAGAAACCAGCUGUCAACCAGUCAUGCUGCCUGGAAGUGCCACUAGCCCUUCAAACUCAACAUUUCCAAAACAGAACUCACCACCUUUCCCAGCCCUUGUCCUCCUUCUGCCUCUCCUAUCUGGGUUCAUUCAGCCAGACCCUCAGUUUUACAGGCUGGGAAUGUUGGAAGUGUCCUGAACCUCGCUCUGCCUUCAUGCCCCUUCUUCUAGGGGCACACUGCUAGCUGUAGUGAGUUCUCUGCAGAUGGUGUGACCUCUGAGGUUUUGCAAAACAGUGAUCUCUGUACUCAAGGAGACCCCUAACAACCUUACUAGCAAGGCAUUUUCCUAGAUGAAACAACUGAGGACCCACGUAAGACUAGAUAAUGAAAUGGGCGGCACGAGUAGUGUGGUGAAUGCAGUGCAGCAAAGUCGGUCACAAGACAUUGGCCUGGGCUAGGUGAUCAUUUGCCAAACAUUGUCUUUUUUCUCCAAACACUUAUAGAAGGGAUAUUCAUCUAGCGUCUUCCAGCUUAAAAGCACUUGUACGACCCGGUGCGGUGGCUCACUCCUUGUAAUCCCAGCACUUUGGGAGGCGAGUCCUGAGGUCAGGAGUUUGAGACCAGCCUGGCCAACAUGGCGAAACCCUGUCUGUACUAAAAAUACAAAAAAUUAGCCAGAUGUGGUGGUGGGUGCCUGUAAUCCCAGCUACUUGGGAGGCUGAGGCAGGAGAAUUGCUUGAACCCAGGAGGUGGUGGUUGCAGUGAGGCGAGAUCACGCCACUGCACUCCAGCCUGGGCAACAGAGUGAGACUCCAUCUCAAAAAAGAAAAAAAAAAAAAAAGCACUUGUACAUCUACAUCUUUCAAACCUUCCAACAACCCUGUGAGGUCCACUUCCACAUCAUUCCAUUUUAUGGACAAGAGAACGAAGGCACUGAGGUACUGAGGUGACCAGGGAAAUUGUCUUAGUGGUCACAGAGCCACGAAGAAGCGCUGAGGCAGGCUGAUGCCUCAGCUUAUACUUGCUCCCCUGCACCGCCCUUUGGGCUAGACUUAGCUAACCUGGCCCUCCGUAUAAUCCGGCCUGUUUUGUUUUCGUUUUUUGUUUUCUAACUUUUCAUUAGUUUUACUAUUAUCUGCCACAGACUGUAUGGCAAAGAUCACUAGUUGCCUGCUCAAUAUGGAUUCUCCCCUUCCUCCUUCCAGUGCUGGAAGUGGCAAUGAGCCAGGAUAAAUGCACGUGCUUCCCAGACUCCUUGCAGGAAGGGAUGGCCAAAGCCACACAAUCAGAAGUUGUUGGGUGGAGAUUCUGGGAAAACUCUUUAAAAGGAGCCGACACAACAGUGAAGUACUCUUACCCACCUCACCUCUUCCUCCCUCUUGAUACCUGAAACUUAGACAUGCUGGCUGGGAUGGGAACUCCAUGCAGGCUGCAGACAAGGUGGGGAUCUAAAGGGAGAAACUCACACUAAGGAUGGCGGAGCAGAAAGAUGGGAAGAUCCUGGAUCUUUGACGGCCAAAGCUUCUAUACCAGCCCAAGAUUUCUUUUACACAAAAACAAACAAACACACAACCCCAGUCUUUUGAAGCCACUGUUAUAUGGGGUUUAGGUUAUAUGCAACUGAGCCACAUACUAACUGAUUCACUCUUCAAGAACAGGUUAAUUAAGGCCUGGUGCAGUAGCUCACAUCUGUAAUCCCAGCAUUUUGUGAGGCCAAGGCAGAGAAUCACUUGCGCCCAGACUCUGUCUCCAAUAAAAAUUUAAAAUCAAAUUAGCCAGGCAUGGUGGCACAGCCUGUAGUCCCAGCUGCCUGGGAGGCUUAGGUGGGAGGAUCGUUUGAGGCUGGAAGGUCCAGGCUGCAAGUGAGCCAUGAUUGCAUCACUGUACUCCAGCCUGGGUGGCAAAGUGAGAUCCCUGUCUAGAAAAGAAAAAGAAAAGAAAAGAAAAGAAAAGAAACAAGAACAGGUUGAUUCAUCCCCUCAUCCAUUCAACAGAUUCACUGAGUGUCAAGGAUUGUUCUAGGCUCUAUGGACAUAAACAAAUGAGGAGCUCCAAUUUAAAAGGUUCUGUGUUUUCUACUUCUUCACCCUCACUCUACCCCUAACCACUCGGGAUCCAGGGCUGACGAGUGGCAGGCUUUAUUCCACAACAGUUUGCCCACUCUUGGGUAAGAUCAAUGGCCUUCACUUUUAUACUCUCCCCAGCAAGCUCACCAUCUCCACAGAUGGGGUGACUUGUGCUCCUGAAGCAGAGAGGUCACCUUUUGUGCUGUCUCCCCCUAUCAGAGCCACUUCUGGCCCAUGUGUCUUUGUGUGAAGAGCAACCUCACAUGACCUUGGAAUGUCUUUUAAGAGUGAGCCCCCAAAGGACUACUUCAGUCUGGAGCACUUAUUCAGAAAGUUUGCUACAUCUUGAAAAUGUGUCCAUUCAUUCUAACCUAUUCAAUGUAUUACCAAAUUUUGCAGCAGUAGAAAUUUAAAGAUCAUGUAGCUAUAUAGAAUAGAUUACUCUGUGUGUGUUUGUCUCAUUUUCAAUGAGGAGUGUGAUGGUUAAUUUUAUAUAUCAAUUUAACUGCCCAUAAAGUGCCCAGAUUAAACAUUAUUUCAGGGUGUGUCUGUGAGGGUGUUUCCAGACGAGGUUAUCCCUUGAUUGUUGGACUCGCUAAAAUAGAUCCCCUUCCCCAGUGAAACGGUGAAUCACCCAGUCCAUCAGGGGCCUGAAUAGAACAAACGUGAAAGAAGGAGGGGCUUGCUCCUUUUUUUUGAUCCCUACCUGCCUGCUUGAGCUGGAACAUCUCAUCUCAUUGUCUCCAGCCCUUAGAUUAGGAUUUACACCAUUAGCUCCUAUGGUUCUCACCUUUUGGACUAAGUUACACAACUACCUUUCCUGGGUCUCCAGCUUGCAAACAGUAGACUGUAGGACUUCCCAGUCUUCGUAAUUAUGUGAGCCAAUUCCAUGUAUAUAUUUCCUACUGGUUCCACCCUAAUGCAAGGAGAUAGGGAAAUCACAUAAAUCUCUGGGCUCACUCUUCCUGCCAUGUCUUGCUGCCUCUUGUAAGACAUAAUUACUCUGUCUUCUCCUUUCAAUCUAUCCCCCUCCACCCAGAACCUCUGAAUACAGGAAACACGCAAGUAAAUGUCGAUUCCAUAAAAGAGACCAUCUAGUAACUAGCACAGUGGGGUUAACUCCAGGAAGGACCAGAUAGAUCUGGGCUCAAAACUGGCUUUAUGUUCUAUGUAAAACUUGAUGAUUAUAUUUAUUCCAAAGGAGUUUUCAUGUUUAAUGAUAUGGCAAUGCCUGGCAAAUCAUUGGUCCUAAAUAAAUGGGAGCAAUUAUUAUGCACUCACCCGUCCAUCCACCCAACAAACAUUUCCAGAAUAACCAUAAAUUCAGAGCAGUCUAGUUUCAAUGAUAGAAAAGAAGUAGACAACAUGGCUUUUCAUUUUAGAGAACUUAGUUUUGCCAUCCAAAAUAGAAGUUAGGGGAAAUUUUACCAGGUGAGAAGGUAAAAUAGAUUUUCCAUCAAAGGGUUCCAAUGGCCAUGGAUCUCUGUAAUCAGAAAGUUGAUUCUCUGAUGAAUCCUCCAGUGUGAUUUAUUUUAUUUUAUUAUUUUUGAGGCAGGGUAUCAGUCCAUCUCCUGGUCUCAAGCGAUCUUCCCACCUCGGCCCCCAAGUAGCUGGGACUACAGGCGCAAGCCAACACACCCAGCUAAUUUUUGUAUUUUCAGUAGAGACAGGGUUUCACCAUAUUGGCCAGGCUGGUCUCAAACUCCUGACCUCAAUCAAUUGACUUGCCUUGGCCUCCCAAAGUGCUAGGAUUACAGGUGUGAGCCACCACACCCAGUCAGUGUGAUUUAUUUUAGUAAGAAACCACAUCACACCUCAGGCCCUGUGCAUAUAUGCCAUUCCUUCACACAGCCCAACUUCAGAGAUGAGCAGAAGACAGCUGCCCUUUCAGUGAAGGACUGAAGGAUGCAUUCUUCACUUUCCAUCCUGCUGGUACCCCUGCUACAGAAGCUGACAAGCAGAAGCAUUCAGGGAAGGACUCCGUCCCCUGCUCUACUGUGCAGGGGAUGAUGCUAUUUUCACAUCAACAGGCCAUAUGGGUGUAGGAUACAGCUGCUUGCACCAUUGUUUCAAGGCUGUCUAAAAGAGUCAAGGAGAAGGAAUCCCAUCUAUGGAGUUCAGAAAAGGGAGGAAGAUCAACUUGUUAAUCUGUGGUUUAGAGACUCAUUUUUAGUAUGAAUUACAGAGUUUAGGGUGAAAUGGUUAAGACAGACAUAUUACCUGUGCUCCAUUAAGAAAGGGAGCUGAGAAAUUCUGGAAAAACUUUAAAAGCAAAACACUGAAGAGUAAAAACCUGGUGAGCCAGAGAUAACGAGGUGACUGGAAUGAAUCCUCCUGGGAGCUCCAUUAAUGUGAAAGAUGACUCAAAGCACUUGAUUGUAAUGAUAAGAGAGGGAGACAACACAGCUGGCGGUGUAGCAACAACCCCCUGGUUCCACUGGUCUUCUGAUUGGAACUAAGACCUAAGAGAAGUGACAGAAGUCUGGAACACUCCCACACAUGGACUUAGUCAUUGUCACAGCAGAACUGUAACAGAUGCCAUCACUCAUACAGAACAAAGCAAUAAAAGGACACAUACCAAAUGUUAACAGCCAUUAUCUCUGGGAUUACCUGGAAAUCUUAUUUCCUUCUGGCUGCUUUUAGUUUCCAAAAAUGUCUACAAUGGAUACAAAUUGUCAGGCCUCUGAGCUCAAGCUAAGCCAUCGCAUCCCCAAUGACUUGCACAUAUAUGCCCAGAUGGCCUGAAGUAACUGAAGAAUCACAAAAGAAGUGAAAAUGCCCUGCCCCACCUUAACUGAUGACAUUCCACCACAAAAGAAGUGAAAAUGGCCAGUCCUUGCCUUAAGUGAUGACAUUACCUUGUAAAAGUCCUUUUCCUGGCUCAUCCUGGCUCAAAAAGCUCCCCUACUGAGCACCUUGCCACCCCCACUCCUGCCCACCAGAGAACAACCCCCCUUUGACUGUAAUUUUCCUUUAUCUACCCAAAUCCUAUAAAAUGGCCCCACCCUUAUCUCCCUUCGCUGACUCUCUUUUUGGACUCAGCCUGACUGCACCCAGGUGAAAUAAACAGCUUUAUUGUUCACACAAAGCCUGUUUGGUGGUCUCUUCACACAGACGUGAGUGAAAUUUGGUGCUGUGACUCGGAUCGGGGGACCUCCCUUGGGAGAUCAAUCCCCUGUCCUCCUGCUCUUUGCUCCAUGAAAAAGAUCCACCUACAAACUAGGGUCCUCAGACCCACCAGCCCAAUGAACAUCUCACCAAUUUUAAAUCGGGUAAGCGGCCUCUUCUUACUCUCUUCUCCAACCUCUCUCACUAUCCCUCAACCACUUUCUCCUUUCCACUCUUCAAUCUCUCCCUUCUCUUAAUUUCAAUUCCUUUCAUUUUCUGGUAGAGACAAAGGGGACACCUUUUAUCCGUGGACCCAAAACUCCGGCGCCGGUCACGGACUGGGAAGGCAGCCUUCCCUUGGUGUUUAAUCAUUGCAGGGACACCUCUCUGAUUUUUAUUCACCCACGUUUCAGAGGUGUCAGACCAGGCAGGGAUGCCUGCCUUGGUCCUUCACCCUUAGCGGCAAGUCCCGCUUUUCUGGGGGAGGGGCAAGUACCCCAACCUCGUAUCUCUGUGCCCCAAUCCCUUAUUUCCAUGCCCCGACCUCUCUCUGUGCCCCAACCUCUUAUCUCUGUGCCCCAACCCCUCAUUUCCACACCCCAACCCCUUUCCCGCUUUCCUGGAAGGUAAGAACCCCUGAACCCUUUCCCUCCGUGUCUCUAUUCUCUCUUUUCUCUGGGCUUGCCUCCUUCACUAUAGGCAACCUUCCACCCUCCAUUCCUCCUCCUUCUCCCUUAGCCUGUGUUCUCAAGAACUUAAAACCUCUUCAACUCACACCUGACCUUAAAACCUUAUCUUCUUCUGCAAUGCCACUUGACCCCAAUAUAAACUCAACAGUGGUUCCAAAUAGCCAGAAAAUGGCACUUUCAAUUUUUCCACCCUACAAGAUCUAAAUAAUUCUUGUCGUAAAAUGGGCAAAUGGUCUGAGGUGCCUGACGUCCACACAUUCUUUUAUACAUUGUUCCCUCCAUAGUCUCUGUUCCCAAUGCAACUCGUCCCAGAUCCUCCUUCUUUCCCUCCCACCUGUCCCCUCAGUCCCAACCCCAAGCGUCACUGAGUCUUCCUAAUCUUCCUUUUCUACAGACCCAUCUGACCUCUCCCCUCCUCGCCAGGCCGAUCCAGGUCCCAAUUCUUCCUCAGCCUCUGCUCCCCCACCCUAUAAUGCUUUUAUCACCUCCCCUCCUCACACCCGGUCCAGCUUACAGUUUCGUUCCGCGACUAGCCUUCCCCCACCUGCCCAGCAAUUUCCUCCUAAAAAGGUGGCUGGAGCUAAAGGCAUAGUCAAGGUUAAUGCUCCUUUUUCUUUAUCUGACCUCUCCCAAAAUCAGUUAGCAUUUAGGCUCUUUUUCAUCAAAUAUAAAAACCCAGCCCAGUUCAUGGCUCGUUUGGCAGCAACCCUGAGACGCUUUACAGCCCUAGACCCUGAAAGGUCAGAAGGCCGUCUUAUUCUCAAUAUGCAUUUUAUUUUAUUACCCAAUCUGUUCCCGACAUGAAAGAAAGCUCCAAAAAUUAAAUUCCGGCCCUCAAACCCCACAACAGGACUUAAUUAACCUCACCUUCAAGGUGUACAAUAAGAGCAGAGGCAGCCAAGUAACAAUGUAUUUCUGAGUUGCAAUUCCUUGCCUCCACUGUGAGACAAACCCCAGCCACAUCUCCAGCACACGAGAACUCCAAACGCCUGAACCGCAGCUGCCAGGGGUUCCUCCAGAACCUCCUCCCCCGGGAGCUUGCUACAAGUGCCAGAAAUCUGGCUACUGGGCCAAGGAAUGCCCACAGCCCGGGAUUCCUCCUAAGCCGUGUCCCAUCUGUGUGGGACCCCACUGAAAAUCGGACUGUUCAACUCACCUGACAGCCACUUCCAGAGCCCCUGGAACUCUGGCCCAAGGCUCUCUGACUGACUCCUUCCCACAUCUUCUCAGCUUAGCAGCUGAAGACUGACACUGCCUGAUCACCUCAGAAGCCUACAGGACCAUCACAGAUGCUCUAAAUAACUCUCACAGUGGAGGAUAAGUCUGUCCCCUUCUUAGUCAAUACGGAGGCUACCCACUCCACAUUACCUUCUUUUCAAGGGCCUGUUUCCCUUGCCUCCAUAACUGUUGUGGGUAUUGACGGCCAGGCUUCUAAAACUCUUAAAACUCUGCAACUCUGGUGCCAACUUAGAAAACAUUCUUUUAUGUGCUCUUUUUUAGUUAUCCCCACCUGCCCAGUUCCCUUAUUAGGCCAAGACAUUUUAACUAAAUUAUCUGCUUCCCUGACUAUUCCUGGAUUACAGCUGCAUCUCAUUGCCGCCCUUCUCCCCAUCCCAAAGCCUCCUUUGCAUCUUCCUCUUGUAUCCCCCCACCUUAACCCACAAGUAUGGGACAUCUCUACUCCUUCCCUGGCAACCCAUCACAUGCCCAUUACCAUCCCAUUAAAACCUAAUCACCCUUACCCCGCUCAACGCCAAUAUCCCAUCCCACAGCAUGCUUUAAAAGGAUUAAAGCCUGUUAUCCUCGCCUGCUACAGCAUGGGCUUCUAAAACCUAUAAACUCCCCUUACAAUUUCCCCAUUUCACCUGUCCUAAAACCAGACAAGGCUUACAGGUUAGUUCAAGAUCUGUGCCUUAUCAACCAAAUUGUUUUGCCUAUCCACCCCAUGGUGCCAAACCCAUAUACUCUACUAUCCUCAAUACCUCCCUCCACAAUCCAUUAUUCUGUUCUAGAUCUCAAACAUGCUUUCUUUACUAUUCCUUUGCACCCUUCAUCCCAGCCUCUCUUCGCUUUCACUUGGACUGACCCUGACACCCAUCGGGCUCAGCAAAUUACCUGGGCUGUACUGCCGCAAAGCUUCACAGACAGCCCCCAUUACUUCAGUCAAGCCCAAAUUUCUUCCUCAUCUGUUACCUAUCUCGGCAUAAUUCUCGUAAAAACACACGUGCUCUCCCUGCUGAUCGUGUCUGGCUAAUCUCCCAAACCCCAAUCCCUUCUACAAAACAACAACUCCUUUCCUUCCUAGGCAUGCUUAGUGUGGUCAGAAUUCUUACACAAGAGCCAGGACCGCACCCUGUAGCCUUUCUGCCCAAACAACUUGACCUUACUGUUUUAGCCUAGCCCUCAUGUCUGUGUGCAGCGGCUACCACUGCUUUAAUACGUUUAGAGGCCCUAAAAAUCACAAACUAUGCUCAACGCACUCUCUACAGUUCUCAUAACUUCCAAAAUCUAUUUUCUUCCUCACACCUGAUGCAUACACUUUCUGCUCCCCAGCUCCUUCAGCCGUACUCACUCUUUGUUGAGUCUCCCACAAUUACCAUUGUUCCUGGCCCGGACUUCAAUCCGGCCUCUCACAUUAUUCCAGAUACCACACCUGACCCUCAUGACUGCAUCUCUCUGAUCCACCUGACUUUCACCCCAUUUCCCCACAUUUCCUUCUUCCCUGUUUCUCAUCCUGAUCACACUUGGUUUACUGAUGGCAGUUCCACCAGGCCUAAUUGCCACUCACCAGCAAAGGCAGGAUAUGCUAUAGUAUCUUCCACAUCUGUUAUUGAGGCUACCGCUCUGCCCCCCUCCACUACCUCUCAGCAAGCCGAACCAGUUGCCUUAACUCAGGCCCUCACUCUUGCAAAAGGACUAUGCAUCAAUAUUUAUACUGACUCUAAAUAUGCCUUUCAUAUUCUGCACCACCAUGCUGUCAUAUAGGCUGAAAGAGUUUUCCUCACUACGCAAGGGUCCUCCAUCAUUAAUGCCUCUUUAAUAAAAACUCUGCUCAAGGCCGCUUUACUUCCAAAGGAAGCUGGAGUCAUUCACUGCAAAGGCCAUCAAAAGGCGUCAGAUCCCUUUGCUCUAGGCAACGCUUAUGCUGAUAAGGUGGCUAGACAAGCAGCUAGCUUUCCACCUUCUGUCCCUCAUGGCCAGUUUUUCUCCUUCACAUCAGUCACUCCCACCUACUCCCCCGCUGAAACUUCCACCUAUCAAUCUCUUCCCACACAAGGCAAAUGGUUCUUAGACCAAGGAAAAUAUCUCCUUCCAGCCUCACAGGCCCAUUCUAUUCUGUCGUCAUUUCAUAACCUCUUCCAUGUAGGUUACAAGCCGCUAGCCCAUCUCUUAGAACCUCUCAUUUCCUUUCCAUCCUGGAAAUCUAUCCUCAAGGAAAUCACUUCUCAGUGUUCCAUUUGCCAUUCUACUACCCCUUAGGGAUUGUUCAGGCCCCCUCCCUUUCCUACACAUCAAGCUUCAGGAUUUGCCACCACCCAGGACUGGCAAAUUGACUUCAGUCACAUGCCUGAGUCAGGAAACUAAAAUACCUCCUAGUCUAGGUAGACACUUUCACUGGAUAGGUAGAGGCCUUUCCCACAGGAUCUGAGAAGGCCACCACGGUCAUUUCUCCCCUUCUGUCAGACAUACUUCCUCGGUUUGGCCUUCCCACCUCUAUACAGUCCAAUAGCAGACCGGCCUUUAUUAGUCAAAUCAGCCAAGCAUUUUUUCAGGCUCUUAGUAGUCAGUGAAACCUUUACAUCCCUUACAGUCCUCAGUCUUCAGGAAAAGUAGAACAGACUAAUAGUCUUUUAAAAACACACCUCACCAAGCUCAGCUACCAACUUAAAAAGGACUGGACAAUACUUUUACCACUUUCCCUUCUCAGAGUUCAGGCCUGUCCUCAGAAUGCUACAGGGUACAGCCCAUUUGAGCUCCUGUAUAGACGCUCCUUUUUAUUAGGGCCCAGUCUCAUUCCAGACAUCAGACCAACUUGGACUGUGCCCCCAAAAAACUUGUCAUCUCUACUGUCUUCUCUCUAGUCAUACUCCUAUUCACCAUUCUCAACUACUCAUACAUGCCCUGCUCUUGUUUACACUGCUGGUUUACACUGUUUCUCCAAGCCAUCACAGCUGAUAUCUCCUGAUGCUAUCCCCAAACUGCCACUCUUAACUCUUAAAGUAAAUAAAUAAUCUUUGCUGGCAGGACUAUGCUGAAUCUCCUGAGGCACUCUCUAAUCAGAUGUCCUGGGUCCUCCCAAUUCUUAGACCUUUUAUACCUGUUUUUCUCCUUCUCUUAUUCCGUUUAGUUUUUCAAUUCAUACAAAACCGUAUCCAGGCCAUCACCAAUCAUUCUACACGACAACUGUUUCUUCUAACAACCCCACAAUAUCACCCCUCACCACAAAAUCUUCCUUCAGCUUAAUCUCUCCCACUCUAGGUUCCCACGCCGCCCCUAAUCCCGCUUGAAGCAGCUCUGAGAAACAUCGCCCAUUCUCUCUCUCCAUACCACCCCAAAAAAUUUUCGCCACCCCAACACUUCAACACUAU